rfam:Drosophila pseudoobscura pseudoobscura strain MV2-25 chromosome XL unlocalized genomic scaffold ChXL_group1a, whole genome shotgun sequence.
CCUUCGAUAGCUCAGUUGGUAGAGCGGUGGACUGUAGAUGGAAGUGGGUGGCGCAUGGCGCCAUUAAAAGCAGAGAUCCAUAGGUCGCUGGUUCAAAUCCGGCUCGAAGGA